UUCCAGUUGCAUGCAUACUGCUUGGUGCUCCAAAAGUUGCACGGACAUUUUAUUUAUAUUUUUAAAUUCCACUGUUAUAAUCAGCAAUUUAUCCUUUGUUCUUUGGAUUUUAAAUUCAAGUAAAGGACAGUGUUUAUAAUGGCUUGUAAGGGAAAAAAAUGAUGUUUAAGUGGAAGUAAGGGUUUCCAUGUACUGAUGUAGAAUGACUAAAGUCUUUGCGAUAGAUAAAAGGCUUUCUAUAAGUGGAAAAAGCUGAGCCAUGCCACUGUAAAUUUGAUAGUCUGAGAAACGUAAAUGUUUUCUUUGAUAUUAGAGGAAAUAUUACUUACAUUUAUAGGAAGCAUUAUAAAGUUUCUAGAAUAUUUGUUGUCUUUUUUCUUCCUUAAGUAGCCAGGCAUAUGCAUAGUAGUGGAUAUGCACAUAUUGGAGCCAUAUGCACUUGAACACCAAAAUUCUUUUUGCUUUCGCUUUGGAUAGUUUCUGUCAAUACAGUGAAAAACCCAGUCUUUCCACGGCCAGCUGUAAUCUAAGAUUGAUUGUACCUUGAGUGAUGUGAUGCUGAAGAGCAGUAACAGGGAAUAAUGGAGGAGUACUGGGUGUAUAGAUGGAUGCAGGGUCCCUACUGGGGUGUGGGUAAGAAUUUAAAGAAUAAGUGGAAGAUAGAUUGGUGAUUUCCAGGGGUUGGAGAUGGGAGAAUGGGAGGUGGAUGUGGUUAUAAAGGGGCAGCAUGACAGAUCCCUGGGAUGCUGAUACCGUUUAGUAUCUUGACUGUUGUGGCAGAUACACGAAACUUCACAGGUGAUAAAAUUAUAUAGAACUUAAUAUAGAACAUGUGCACAAAUGAGUAUGAAUACAUCUGAAUAAGACUGGCAGAUUGCAUCAGUUUCAGUGUCACCCUCCUCGUUGUGAUAUUACGGUUUUGCAAAAUGUUAUUGGGGUGACUGGGCAAUAUGUACAAAGAGAUUGCUCUGUAUUAUUUCUUUACAACUGUGUGUGAAUCUGCAACUACCUCAAUAAAUAAUUAAUGCCAAGUUAGAAACAUAUAAAGGAAGCAGAUGUGAGAAGCAAAGAAGUAAAACAAAAAUAAUACUUUGGGACUGGAAUUUUCUCAUCCUCAUGACUUUGAUGUUGCUGUCUAGUUCUACCCUUCUUCUUUAUCUGCCUGUAUUUUUGAAUGCCUGCACCAGGCUAAGAACAAUGAAGUGAUGCAUUCUCUUUUAACUUAAUAGAAUAUGCUUUUCUGAGCAGGAAAGAAGUAGAGAGAUCAUAAAAUUGUGAGUCAGAAGCACAAGAUUCAUUUUCGUGUCAUUACUAUAGAUGAUUCAAAUAGCAUAAUGUCUUUGGAUUUGUGGAUGGCUCUCAACUCAUUGACUGUUAAAGGAUUGGUAACACUAAAUAAUUUUUCCAGUCAAAUGACUGCUUCCCUCUUGGUACCUAUGUUUUGGCUAGUUAUGGGUUUAUAAGUACUUUGCUUCAAGAUGGGAGAAGAGGAAUGAAGGUAAAAUAUGGGCUGGUUAGUUUUAAUUCUUAUCAGUUGUUCUGCCAGAAGAUCUAGGGGGACAAAAUUGAAGUAGUUCCGAUGAAAUUAACUUGUGGACUAAAGUAAAUUUAAUUCAAUCAAUUAUUUAUUCAGUUACCAGUAUCUGCCCAAAAGAGAUACUUUAUAAAUGUUGGGAGGCAGUUAAAAAUUCUAGUCUAACUUACCAGGCCUGUCCUCUGGAUUAUGAUUUUGGUUAUUUAACAUUUUAUUUAUAAUUGAAAACCUGGCAUGGUUUGUGUCUGUCAUGUAUUUUUCUUGCAGUCUGUCUUUUCUUACUGGUUUCUUCUGAAGAGGCUUAUCUGUGAUUGGUUUUUUUUUGGUGAUUGCAACUGUCCUGUCUUUUGACAUGUACUUACAUUUCUUUCCCACCCCGUUGCUAAUUUAUCAGUUUCUUCUUACGAUAAUAUAAGCCUGAGAAGAGCUGCCAUGCUUUCUUCAUACUUAGUGCCAUAGUGCUAUAUUGGUUUACUUUCGAGAGGUAAACUUCAUUCUCCGAAAAUAAAAAUUCUGGAGUACGUAGUGUUCUCUUGGUAAGCUGUCCAUACUCCUUGGGAUGAUUCUGCUUCCUAGUAUCUAUCCUUGUUUGUAUAAAUAGAUAUACAGCUGAGAAAAAAAUUGCUGAUUCCUUAGGCUUGCAGUCAUAAACAUUUCUAGAUAUUGCCAAAUUGCUUUCCACAGUAAAGAUGAGCUAGAGUUCCUAGUGUUCGGCAUCUCUGCCAAUUCAUAGUACUGUUGGACUUUUAAGUUGUGACCAGUUGAUUGAAUGGUGUCUAGUGUAGUUAAUUCAACAGAUAUUUAAGUGCCCACUGUUCCAGGUAUUGGCUUAGAGGCUGGGCAUAGAGCGGUGAAUAGAACAGAUAUAAAAACCUACCUCACAGAGUUGACUUUCUAAAGGGUAGAGACAAACAAGAGUAUACAAAAUGCCAUACUUGCUUAGGAUAGAAAGGAAGGGCUGUUACCAUUUUAGAAGUAGCCAGGGGUCUUAUUGAGAAGAUAACAUUUGACCAAAGAUCUGAGGAGGGUGAGGGAGCAAGUGAGGAUGUCUGGGAAAAGUAUCCCAGGCAAAGGGAAUAGCAAGCUCAAAGUCUGUGAGACAGGAGGAUAAGGAAUCACAAGGAAGGCCAGGGUGCAGAAGCAAAGUGGGCAAUGAAUUUGGAAAGGCAGCCAGAUUGCGUAGUAUUGUAGACCAUUGUAAAGAUGUUUGUUUUUACUCUGAGUGAGACGGAAAAAACCACUGGAAGGCUUUGAAGAGAAGAGUGAUACAGCUAACUCCUGUGUUAACAGGAUCACUCUGCUGUGUUGGAAGGAACUGAACACUGGCAAGAGGGGAGCAGGUAGACUAUUAGGAAGCCACUAGUAAUAAUCCAGGCGAGCAAUGGUGAUAGGUUCUGGGUCCAGAGGAGAGCUGUGGAGGUGAUGAAAAGUGGUUGGGCUCUAGAUCUAUGUAGAGGGAAGAGCAGAGAGCACUUGCAGAUGCUGGGUAUGAGAUAAAAAGAUACGUAAGGAUGACACUAAGUUUUUGGUCUGAACAGUAGGAAGAAGGGAGUUGCCAUUAACUGAGGUGUGUAAGUUAUAGGAGUUAGUGUUGCACAUGUUAAAAUUGAGAUGUCACAUAGAUACCUGUUGCUAUCAGAAUUCCUCAAGAAAUGGCUGGCACACUCAAUAUAAUUGGACAUUUUGACAAAGGAACCAUUUACAAAGGUAUGUGUGGGGUACAGCGAAAGCACUGAGGUAGUGCUGUGUCGGGACGGUGAGCAGCAGCAUAUGUUACUGCCCUAGUUACUAUAAGUUUGAAGAGGGUCAUAGAGUUUGCCUUGGGAGAAUGAAUCACCUUCAUUGAGGGCACUCAGCCAGUGAAGAUGAUCUUAAACUGAGAGAGUCAGAGGAAUACAUACUCUCUUCCUGUCUCUGCCAGGGCUUCCAUAAGCCUAACCUGCUGGAAGCCAGAAGACAAGGGAAGUUGUAGUCUGUACUGGUCAAGCUUUUAGGGCAGAACUGGAUGGAGAAGGGUGGUGGAUAAGUCUGCAUUGGCACACGGAAGAGACCCAGCACAACAUCUAAUAGGAGACAUGGAGCAGGCUGCCUGAUAGAGGAAUGUAGGGUUCAGGAACCAGGCGUGGGCUGGUGAUAGUACAUUUGGGUGAUGCCAGCCUUUUGAUGAUAUUUAAAGUCAUAAGAAUGUAUGAGAUGACCAGGGCAGUUAUUACCUAGAGAAGUGCCGACUUCCGGGCACCACAAUGUCUAGAGUUUAGGGGAAAGAGAAGAAACCAGCAAAGGAGACUGAGCAUGAGUGGUAGAAGGAAUAACCAGGAGAGUGUAGUGUCUCUAAGUGUUUUGAGGCAGGAGAAAUGUGUAUCAAAUGCAGUUGAUGACAAUGAAGAAUUGACUAUUUAAUUUAACAAGAGGAAGGUUAUUGGUGGUCUUGACAGGUGCGGUUUGUUGGAGUGGUGGGCUAAAUUUUUUCUUGAAUUUAAAAAGAAUGUGGGAGGAGACCUUUGAGACAGCAGACAUACAUGACUUAAUUUUAAAGAGUUUUGUUAUAAAGGAAAGGAGAAUAAUGGGCUGGUGGAAGAAGUGGGUCAAGACUUUUUAAUUGUUUCUUUUUUUUGGCAUUUCUUUUAUAGAGACAGGGUCUUGUUAUGUUUCCCAGGCUGGUCUCAAAUUCCCGGGCUCAAGCAAUCCUCCUGCCUUGGCCUCCCAAAGACCUGGGAUUACAGAUGUGAGCCACUGUGGUUGGCCAGUCAAGACAUUUUUUAAAGAUGGGAGAAAUAACUACAUGUUUACUUCUUGAUAAAUCCAGAAAAGAGGGCAAAAUUAAUGUGGGGAAAAGUGACAAUUCCUGGAUUUAUAUUCUUUAGUAGAUAUGAGCUUGAUAGGAUCUGUUGUGCAGGUGGAGAGAUUGCCCAUUGCUGGGGCUUGGGCAGUUUUCAACUGUAAUUGGAGGAAAAGUAGAAUAUAUGGGCAUAGAUAUGGGGAUAUGGGUAGAUGUCAUGGGGGCUUGAGGAAGCAUUCUUCUAAGAAAACCAAGGAUAAGUGUUGCGGAGGAGGUAUUGGAAGUGGAAGGGAGAGAGUAGAAGUUUAGCAAUAGUUGUCGAGGAAGUGGGAAAAUACAGUUUCCUAUUUUCUAAAUAGGAAAAUAUGGUAUAGAUGUUGGGCCACAAUAGGAGUAUUCAUAAAUUUAAGGUGAGAACAGGUAUACUUUUCCCUGACUCAUAUUCUGCUGUGUGGGUGCAGACCCAGAAAGACGGGAUGGAAGGGUAGGACUUAACCAUGAUUAUAGUUUAGUAGAGCAAAUGCAAUGAAAUGAGAGAGGGAAAAGGAGAUGAUUAGAAUGAUUGACAUAAAUUUAAAUGGGAUAAGGAAAUAAGUGAAGGUAUAAGAGAAGAUGAAGGGCAGUAAAAAGAUCGUGGGAUCACAGGAUGACAGAUUCUUCUGGGCAGAUGGAUUAUUGACCUUCUUGAGAAGGUGUGAGUUGGAGAGGUGGGAAGCGGUGGCUGCAGAUUAGAAUAUUUGACAUUGAGAUUUGGUGGGGCAGGGGGUUGCAGAUGAUGGUAAUGAUACAGUCUUGUAUAAAAGCAUGGACGUGCCUGCUCUGAGAUGAUGUGGAGGCCUCAUCGCUGAAGGUUUUAGUUUACCUUUCUUUAGUUAUUACUGUGGUUGAACAUCUUUGUAUUAGUGGUAUUUGCUUUCUUAGUGAACUGCUUGCUCACAUUCUUUAACCAUUUGGCUGUUUUGUUUCUUACUGAUUUGUGGAUUAAAAAAAUGUAGUCUUUAUACUUAUCUUUGGAUAUUUGUGUUUGCAGAUAUCUCUUGAUAUGAGAUUCACUUCUAUAGUGAUGUCUUUCAGCGCGUUGUUAUAAAUUUCAGUUGAAUUUGUCAAUUGUCUAUCUUACUGUUUAUGCUGUUUUGUGCCUUGAGAACUCCAUCUUUCCCCCAGGGUUAAAGAUGUUCUCCUAUAUUUUCUUCUAAAAGUUCUAAUUUUGCUUAUUCUCCUGAAGAGUGUUACAUUUUAUUGUUAUAUGCUUUUGCAACCAUUUUUGAUUGGUGGAGUGAGGUGGCAUAAUUACCUUAUACUUCAGUCUCCUAAACAGUAUAAAUCCUUUUGAUUUUCAUUUUCUAUUUUUCUUUAUGAGUAUAUAAUGUCUCUAUUACACACCAAAGUAGUGAAAUUAGGAGCAAUUUAUCAAUCUUCCAACAUUUGAUUUUUAAUAUUGAACAUUUAAAUUUGGCCUGUGAAGUGACAGUUUUCUUUUGACAAUGUGGUUUAGUGUAAGGAGCACAGGCCACCAAGCCAAAUAAAUGUUGACUUGAGUCUACUUCUACCAUGACUCUAUUUUUGGGCACUACUGUUUCUCCACGUAGGAAGAGCAAGAAUAGAAGUAACAGUGCUUGAUUUGAUGA